rnacentral:rRNA from 1 species
GAUGAACGCUAGCGGGAGGCCUAACACAUGCAAGCCGAGCGGUAUUAUUUCUUUAGCUUGCUAAAGAGAUGAGAGAGCGGCGUACGGGUGCGUAACACGUGUGCAACUUACCUUUAUCAGGGGGAUAGCCUUUAGAAAUGAAGAUUAAUACCCCAUAAUAUAUUAGAUGGCAUCAUUUAGUAUUGAAAAUUACGAUGGAUAGAGAUAGGCACGCGCAAGAUUAGCUAGUUGGUACGGUAACGGCGUACCAAGGCGAUGAUCUUUAGGGGGCCUGAGAGGGUGAUCCCCCACACUGGUACUGAGACACGGACCAGACUCCUACGGGAGGCAGCAGUGAGGAAUAUUGGACAAUGGGUGAGAGCCUGAUCCAGCCAUCCCGUGUGAAGGAUUAAGGACCUAUGGUUUCGUAAACUUCUUUUAUAUAGGAAUAAACCUACCCUCGUGAGGGUAGCUGAAGGUACUAUAUGAAUAAGCACCGGCUAACUCCGUGCCAGCAGCCGCGGUAAUACGGAGGGUGCGAGCGUUAUCCGGAUUUAUUGGGUUUAAAGGGUCCGUAGGCGGGCUAAUAAGUCAGUAGUGAAAUCUUGUCGCUUAACGAUAAAACUGCUAUUGAUACUGUUAGUCUUGAGUGUAUUUGAAGUAGCUGGAAUGAGUAGUGUAGCGGUGAAAUGCAUAGAUAUUACUCAGAACACCAAUUGCGAAGGCAGGUUACUAAGAUACAACUGACGCUGAGGGACGAAAGCGUGGGGAGCGAACAGGAUUAGAUACCCUGGUAGUCCACGCUGUAAACGAUGCUUACUCGUUUUCGGGGAUUUAUUUUCGGAGACUAAGCGAAGGUGAUAAGUAAGCCACCUGGGGAGUACGAUCGCAAGAUUGAAACUCAAAGGAAUUGACGGGGGCCCGCACAAGCGGUGGAUUAUGUGGUUUAAUUCGAUGAUACGCGAGGAACCUUACCAAGACUUAAAUGGGAAUUGACAGUUUUAGAAAUAGGGCUUUCUUCGGACAAUUUUCAAGGUGCUGCAUGGUUGUCGUCAGCUCGUGCCGUGAGGUGUUAGGUUAAGUCCUGCAACGAGCGCAACCCCUGUCACUAGUUGCUAACAUUCAGUUGAGGACUCUAGUGAGACUGCCUACGCAAGUAGAGAGGAAGGUGGGGAUGACGUCAAAUCAUCACGGCCCUUACGUCUUGGGCUACACACGUAAUACAAUGGUAGGUACAGAGGGCAGCUACACUGUGAAGUGAUGCAAAUCUCGAAAGCCUAUCUCAGUUCGGAUUGGAGUCUGCAACUCGACUCUAUGAAGCUGGAAUCGCUAGUAACCGCGCAUCAGCCAUGGCGCGGUGAAUACGUUCCCGGGCCU